rnacentral:sRNA from 1 species
GCGCGGUCGGUCGGCGCCUAUUCUCGGGCUGUUUGGCGGACGAAGCUUCACAAAAGAUGUCUAAGGUGAAUCAGGUCUAGGAAAAUCGACUCUCAUAAACAGCCUAUUCCUAACUGAUCUGUACCCAGAAAGAGUCAUACCUGGAGCAGCAGUUUUAAGACAAUUAUCUCCUAUAUUGAUGAGCAAUUUGAGAGGUACCUGCAUGACGAGAGCGGCUUGAACAGGCGGCACAUCAUUGAUAAUAGGGUGCAUUGUUGCUUUUACUUUAUUUCACCUUUUGGACAUGGACUUAAGCCCUUAGAUGUGGCGUUUAUGAAGGCAAUACACAACAAGGUGAAUAUUGUGCCUGUCAUUGCAAAAGCUGACACUCUCACCCUGAAGGAACGGGAGCGGCUGAAGAAAAGGAUUCUGGAUGAAAUUGAAGAACAUAACAUCAAAAUCUAUCACUUACCUGAUGCAGAAUCAGAUGAAGAUGAAGAUUUUAAAGAGCAGACUAGACUUCUCAAAGCUAGCAUCCCAUUCUCUGUGGUUGGAUCCAAUCAGUUGAUUGAAGCCAAAGGAAAGA